AGAAAAAUAAUAUAUUGCUUCUGAAUGAUUGUUACAAUGUGUUUGCAAGUAAUUAGAUCCCUUUUAUAUAGAAGGGGAAUCUCACUUUAGGUACAAUUCUAUAAAAGGUAAAAAUCUCCUGAUUUGAUGAUUUGCCAAUUCCUUAUUGAUACGUGCUGAGAUUCCCUCCAUGAUAUCCGGCCGGCUAUAGAUAUUUCAGCCUUUUGUUAUUUCGGUUUUCUGGUGGUUAUAUCGACAAUAUUUCCUCGAACUCAUCCGGGACAGGACGAUUUCAAAAUUAGAGACUUAAUGUCCUCGAGGACGAACAUUCUAACCUUGUGUUCUGGUUCGAUGGUACUUAGGAUCGAUUUCAACCCCUUACGUUUCGAGUUCGAUUUGUCAGGGAGCAGACGGGCUGAUUUCGAUCGUAUACAGAGUCUUAAUUUUUCUCCAAACUUCGGGAAAAAAAUGUUACAAAAAUGUAGAGAAACAAAAUUUCAGAAAUUGAAUUUUUUUUUUUUUGGCAGAAACUAAACUUUUUC
rnacentral:lncRNA from 1 species